CCUACCCCACGAUAACUCAAGCUACAUAAAAUCAGAUGUCUAUCUUAUAAAUAUACCUAAAAUUUGUGCAUUGCUUAGCGAUUACCCCACUUGUUACCUGAUACUUGUUAUAUAUGCAAAACAGCUCGAGGACUGCCGUUGGGGUACCUAAAGCCGAUGUUAGAAUUCAUUACAUGCACUGCAAAAUAUAUAUUGCCAGGACCACCACUUGUUAAUUCUGCUACACAUACUGGGAAAAGGGGGCUUCAACCUAGUUUUCACACAGAAAUUGGGGCAUCCGCGUCAUAGCAGUAGCUGCAUGCCUAAAUGUGUGCAAAUAUUAAUCACGCUUUAUAAAUGUGUAAAUGUGUAUAUCUGUAUUUGUGUUGAUUUAUUUUAUCUAUUUCACGCAGUUAGAGAUUUCCUUUGAACUGUGCUUUUUCAAAU